UCCACCUACGGGGGGCAGCAGUGGGGAAUAUUGCACAAUGGGGGAAACCCUGAUGCAGCUCCUCCGCUUUCUUGAAGAAGUAUUUCGGUAUGUAAAGCUCUAUCAGCAGGGAAGAAAAUGACGGUACCUGACCAAGAAGCCCCGGCUAACUACGUGCCAGCAGCCGCGGUAAUACGUAGGGGGCAAGCGUUAUCCGGAUUUACUGGGUGUAAAGGGAGCGUAGACGGCUGUGCAAGUCAGAAGUGAAAGCCCGGGGCUCAACCCCGGGACUGCUGUUGAAACUGCGUGGCUGGAGUGCAGGAGAG
rnacentral:rRNA from 1 species